AGGGUGCACAGCUGGAAACUUCCUGUGCCUUGCCGGCGCCUUGUCCUUCAACGCCUUCAAGACCGUGUUGGACAUAGACACCAGUGGCACCUUCAACGUGUCUCGCGUGCUCUAUGAGAAGUUCCUCCGGGACCACGGAGGGAUGAUUGUGAACAUCACUGCCACCCUGGGACACCGGGGGCAGGUGCUCCAGACGCGAUGACUCGGCACUUGGCUGUGGAGUGGGGUCCCCAGAAUAUCCGUGUCAACAGCCUCGCCCCCGGCCCCAUCAGUGGCACGGAGGGGCUCCGUCGACUGGGUGGCCCCCAGGCCAGCCUGAGCACCAGGGUCGCUGUGAGCCCGCUGCAGACGCUGGGGAACAAGAUGGAGAUUGCCCACUGCGUGCUCUUCCUGGCCAGCCCUCUGGCCUCCUACGUGACGGGGGCCGUGCUGGUGGCUGAUGGCGGGGCGUGGUUGACAUUCCCAAAUGAUGUGAAAGGGCUGGCGGAUUUUGCAUCCUUCUGUGCUAAGCUCUAGGAUUCUUCUGGGCCCUGCUUCCCGCCGCCUUGCACAGCCAGGUGGAGAGCGCCAAUCUGAACCAGCAGUGCCCGCAGCCCAGCCCCUCCUCUGGACAUCCAGCUGUUUCCACCGUCUCCCUCCCUCCCCAUGGCUCCACCUCCGGGGCAGGAGCAGCUGGACAGUGGGCCUCCCUGUGGAGCUGCCACGCAGGUGGUGAGGAUGCCGACGAGAUGCUGGGAGUUCCCCUGCCCCGUGGUCAAGGCUGUCCUGCCUGCCUGGGUUCAGGGCCUGAGGGAGCCACGUGGAACCUGAAACUUGUGUUCUCUUCACUGAAAAUGCUGAGGUGCUCCUGUCUGUGCCCAAGAGCUGGCACGGCCCUCAGGCUGCCCACAGGGUCCACCCCUCUGUUUCUGCACCACCAGUUUGCAUAAAUACACUUCCCUACAA